UUAGAGUUUGAUCCUGGCUCAAGACGAACGCUGGCGGCGCGCCUAACACAUGCAAGUCGAACGAGCGAGAGAGAGCUUGCUUUCUCGAGCGAGUGGCGAACGGGUGAGUAACGCGUGAGGAACCUGCCUCAAAGAGGGGGACAACAGUUGGAAACGACUGCUAAUACCGCAUAAGCCCACGGGGUCGGCAUCGACCAGAGGGAAAAGGAGCAAUCCGCUUUGAGAUGGCCUCGCGUCCGAUUAGCUAGUUGGUGAGGUAACGGCCCACCAAGGCGACGAUCGGUAGCCGGACUGAGAGGUUGAACGGCCACAUUGGGACUGAGACACGGCCCAGACUCCUACGGGAGGCAGCAGUGGGGAAUAUUGCACAAUGGGGGAAACCCUGAUGCAGCGACGCCGCGUGGAGGAAGAAGGUCUUCGGAUUGUAAACUCCUGUUGUUGGGGAAGAUAAUGACGGUACCCAACAAGGAAGUGACGGCUAACUACGUGCCAGCAGCCGCGGUAAAACGUAGGUCACAAGCGUUGUCCGGAAUUACUGGGUGUAAAGGGAGCGCAGGCGGGAAGACAAGUUGGAAGUGAAAUCUAUGGGCUCAACCCAUAAACUGCUUUCAAAACUGUUUUUCUUGAGUAGUGCAGAGGUAGGCGGAAUUCCCGGUGUAGCGGUGGAAUGCGUAGAUAUCGGGAGGAACACCAGUGGCGAAGGCGGCCUACUGGGCACCAACUGACGCUGAGGCUCGAAAGUGUGGGUAGCAAACAGGAUUAGAUACCCCGGUAGUCCACACCGUAAACGAUGAUUACUAGGUGUUGGAGGAUUGACCCCUUCAGUGCCGCAGUUAACACAAUAAGUAAUCCACCUGGGGAGUACGACCGCAAGGUUGAAACUCAAAGGAAUUGACGGGGGCCCGCACAAGCAGUGGAGUAUGUGGUUUAAUUCGACGCAACGCGAAGAACCUUACCAAGUCUUGACAUCCCUUGACAGGCAUAGAAAUAUGUAUUCUCUUCGGAACACCGGUGACAGGUGGUGCAUGGUUGUCGUCAGUUCGUGUCGUGAGAUGUUGGGUUAAGUCCCGCAACGAGCGCAACCCUUAUCCCCAGUAGCCAGCAUUUUGGAUGGGCACUCUGAGGAGACUGCCAGGGAUAACCUGGAGGAAGGUGGGGAUGACGUCAAAUCAUCAUGCCCCUUAUGACUUGGGCUACACACGUGCUACAAUGGCGUAAACAAAGGGAAGCGAGACCGUGAGGUGGAGCAAAUCCCAAAAAUAACGUCUCAGUUCGGACUGUAGUCUGCAACCCGACUACACGAAGCUGGAAUCGCUAGUAAUCGCAGAUCAGAAUGCUGCGGUGAAUACGUUCCCGGGUCUUGCACA
rnacentral:rRNA from 1 species